CAUAGCGUAAUGAAGCGAACCGGGGGAACUGAAACAUCUAAGUACCCCGAGGAAAAGAAAUCAACCGAGAUUCCCCCAGUAGCGGCGAGCGAACGGGGAGCAGCCCAGAGUCUGAAUCAGCUUGUGUGUUAGUGGAACGGUCUGGAAAGUCCGACGGUACAGGGUGAUAGUCCCGUACACCAAAAUGCACAGGUUGUGAACUCGAAGAGUAGGGCGGGACACGUGGUAUCCUGUCUGAAUAUGGGGGGACCAUCCUCCAAGGCUAAAUACUCCUGACUGACCGAUAGUGAACCAGUACCGUGAGGGAAAGGCGAAAAGAACCCCGGCGAGGGGAGUGAAAAAGAACCUGAAACCGUGUACGUACAAGCAGUGGGAGCCUCUUUAUGGGGUGACUGCGUACCUUUUGUAUAAUGGGUCAGCGACUUAUAUUCUGUAGCAAGGUUAACCGUAUAGGGGAGCCGAAGGGAAACCGAGUCUUAACUGGGCGUUAAGUUGCAGGGUAUAGACCCGAAACCCGGUGAUCUAGCCAUGGGCAGGUUGAAGGUUGGGUAACACUAACUGGAGGACCGAACCGACUAAUGUUGAAAAAUUAGCGGAUGACUUGUGGCUGGGGGUGAAAGGCCAAUCAAACCGGGAGAUAGCUGGUUCUCCCCGAAAGCUAUUUAGGUAGCGCCUCGUGAACUCAUCUUCGGGGGUAGAGCACUGUUUCGGCUAGGGGGUCAUCCCGACUUACCAACCCGAUGCAAACUGCGAAUACCGAAGAAUGUUAUCACGGGAGACACACGGCGGGUGCUAACGUCCGUCGUGAAGAGGGAAACAACCCAGACCGCCAGCUAAGGUCCCAAAGUCAUGGUUAAGUGGGAAACGAUGUGGGAAGGCACAGACAGCCAGGAUGUUGGCUUAGAAGCAGCCAUCAUUUAAAGAAAGCGUAAUAGCUCACUGGUCGAGUCGGCCUGCGCGGAAGAUGUAACGGGGCUAAACCAUGCACCGAAGCUGCGGCAGCGACACUAUGUGUUGUUGGGUAGGGGAGCGUUCUGUAAGCCGUUGAAGGUGUAUCGUGAGGUAUGCUGGAGGUAUCAGAAGUGCGAAUGCUGACAUAAGUAACGAUAAUGCGGGUGAAAAACCCGCACGCCGGAAGACCAAGGGUUCCUGUCCAACGUUAAUCGGGGCAGGGUGAGUCGACCCCUAAGGCGAGGCCGAAAGGCGUAGUCGAUGGGAAACAGGUUAAUAUUCCUGUACUUGGUGUUACUGCGAAGGGGGGACGGAGAAGGCUAUGUUAGCCGGGCGACGGUUGUCCCGGUUUAAGCAUGUAGGCGGAGGUUCCAGGUAAAUCCGGUACCUUUUUAACGCUGAGGUGUGAUGACGAGGCACUACGGUGCUGAAGUAACAAAUGCCCUGCUUCCAGGAAAAGCCUCUAAGCAUCAGGUAACACGAAAUCGUACCCCAAACCGACACAGGUGGUCAGGUAGAGAAUACCAAGGCGCUUGAGAGAACUCGGGUGAAGGAACUAGGCAAAAUGGUGCCGUAACUUCGGGAGAAGGCACGCUGAUAUGUAGGUGAAGUGAUUUACUCAUGGAGCUGAAAUCAGUCGAAGAUACCAGCUGGCUGCAACUGUUUAUUAAAAACACAGCACUGUGCAAACACGAAAGUGGACGUAUACGGUGUGACGCCUGCCCGGUGCCGGAAGGUUAAUUGAUGGGGUUAUCCGUAAGGAGAAGCUCUUGAUCGAAGCCCCGGUAAACGGCGGCCGUAACUAUAACGGUCCUAAGGUAGCGAAAUUCCUUGUCGGGUAAGUUCCGACCUGCACGAAUGGCGUAAUGAUGGCCAGGCUGUCUCCACCCGAGACUCAGUGAAAUUGAACUCGCUGUGAAGAUGCAGUGUACCCGCGGCAAGACGGAAAGACCCCGUGAACCUUUACUAUAGCUUGACACUGAACACUGGUCCUUGAUGUGUAGGAUAGGUGGGAGGCUUUGAAGUGUGGACGCCAGUCUGCAUGGAGCCAUCCUUGAAAUACCACCCUUUAAUGGCUGGUGUUCUAACGUGGACCCGUAAUCCGGGUUGCGGACAGUGUCUGGUGGGUAGUUUGACUGGGGCGGUCUCCUCCUAAAGAGUAACGGAGGAGCACGAAGGUUAGCUAAUCCUGGUCGGACAUCAGGAGGUUAGUGCAAAGGCAUAAGCUAGCUUGACUGCGAGAGUGACGGCUCGAGCAGGUGCGAAAGCAGGUCUUAGUGAUCCGGUGGUUCUGAAUGGAAGGGCCAUCGCUCAACGGAUAAAAGGUACUCCGGGGAUAACAGGCUGAUACCGCCCAAGAGUUCAUAUCGACGGCGGUGUUUGGCACCUCGAUGUCGGCUCAUCACAUCCUGGGGCUGAAGUAGGUCCCAAGGGUAUGGCUGUUCGCCAUUUAAAGUGGUACGCGAGCUGGGUUUAGAACGUCGUGAGACAGUUCGGUCCCUAUCUGCCGUGGGCGCUGGAGAAUUGAGGGGGGCUGCUCCUAGUACGAGAGGACCGGAGUGGACGCAUCACUGGUGUUCGGGUUGUCAUGCCAAUGGCAUUGCCCGGUAGCUAAAUGCGGAAGAGAUAAGUGCUGAAAGCAUCUAAGCACGAAACUUGCCCCG
rnacentral:rRNA from 1 species